rnacentral:rRNA from 1 species
UACGUAGGGUGCGAGCGUUAAUCGGAAUUACUGGGCGUAAAGCGUGCGCAGGCGGUUCGUCGUGUCCGAUGUGAAAGCCCCGGGCUCAACCUGGGAAUGGCAUUGGAAACUGGCGGACUCGAGUGUGGCAGAGGGGGGUGGAAUUCCGCGUGUAGCAGUGAAAUGCGUAGAGAUGCGGAGGAACACCGAUGGCGAAGGCAGCCCCCUGGGCUAACACUGACGCUCAGACACGAAAGCGUGGGGAGCAAACAGG